AAUUCCACCAGUAAACAAAGCAACUCAGCCAGCAAAGAUGACUCCACAAAGGAUGCCAUUUUUCCUGUUCUUCCGGUUCCUGCCGGAUCCUCAAAGUCUUUGUUAGGAUUCAGCAGACCCCGAGACUUCAUAGGCGGCCUUCCCACCGAGCUGUCCAAGAGGAUUUUGGGGCUGCUCGACGAGGCGAUGCUGAAGCGUUGCAUGAAGGUUUGCAAGCACUGGAAGCACCUGGCGGGGGAGACGAUGGAGGAGAUACGUUUCAGGAAGCUCUACCAGGAGCAGGUGGAAGCCAUGAUGAAGCGCUAUAAAGGCGUUCAUAUGGUCAGCCCUUCCUACGCCAGGAUGGUGGACGUCGCGGUGCCGGCCGAGGACCACGAGAGCGGGGAAGUGAAG